CGGCAAUAGCUCAAAUUUGAAAUCUGGCGCAAGCCCGAGUUGUAAUUUGUAGAGGAUGUUUUGGGUACCGCCCCGGUUUAAAUUUCUUGGAACAGAAUGUCAGAGAGGGUGAGAAUCCCGUCGUGG
rnacentral:rRNA from 1 species